UACAGAGACCUCAAGCGUUAUCCGGAAUCAUUGGGCGUAAAGCGUGCCGAUAGGUGGUUUUACAAGUCAGAAGUGAAAUCUCUCAGCUCAACUGGGAGACUGUCUUUUGAAACUGUAAAACUAGAGGGACAAAGAGGAAGCUGGAACGAACGGUGUAGUAGUGAAAUGCGUUGAUAUCGUUCGGAACACCAAUAGCGUAGGCAGGCUUCUGGGUGUCACCUGACACUGCUAGGACGAAAGCGUGGGGAGCGAAUGGG
rnacentral:rRNA from 1 species